rnacentral:lncRNA from 1 species
AGGGAACAAGGAGAAAAAGGGAAGAACAAACCCUAGGAAGGAAAAAUUCGAGAGAAAUUGUUGGAUUUUAAGGAAUCAAGCAAGUAAAGGUAAGAUUUUUUAAUUUUAGCUUGUGAUCUACCUUUCCCAUGCAUUCUUUUUCAUUUUCCAUGGCUGAAAUUCAAGUUUUCAAGAGGGAACCUUUUCUGGCCAAAUCUAGAGAGAGAAGUUUUGGUGAUGAAUUUGGCUAGAUUUCAUGAUAUCUUAGUGUUUUUAGUUGUUUGAUGAUGUUUGGCAUGAAAAACAAGCAAGAAAAUCGCAUACUCUUCAACAAUCCUCCUCGGUCGAAUUUACUAAAGGACAUAUUGAUGAUGAAUCUUAUUAUAUCUCAUGUUAUUUAGCUCAUAUUUGAUGAAUUGUGGUGCCGAAUAUUGAAAACGGUUAUGGAGACGUAUGGUUCCUUUAGUAAACGAUUUGAACAACAAUGAGAAAAUCAAGUUCAUUGUAAAGCUUUGGUGCAUUAGAUUAUUGGGAAUGUAAUGAAUAUAUUUGGAGUUGAAUCGAAUGUUUUGGCUAAAUCAAUGGUGUAUAGUUCAAAUUUGGUCGAAUACAAAUUCAUUCCUAUCACAAUUGAACCUACGUAGAACACCGUCUUUAAGUGAUUAUUCGGACACUUCUCAUUCAAUUUCAUGCAUUCAUAUAGAGCCUGAAAUAGUUUUAUACUUGUUUAGUACAAAUAUAUUGAAUUACGUGUCGUGCAUUAUGUAUUGGUGGUGAGCUCUCUGGUAAUGGUAAGGAUAUCAUACCCGAGGAUCAAGAAUAUGAGUACUCUAUACUCCCGUUAUUCUGAGUAAUCAGACUUUCAUCUUAACUAUCUAAAGUAGUUUAUACUCGUUUUUAUGUUUUAAAGAAAAAUGAAUUUGAAUUGCAAACUAUUAUGUUUUAUAGUUGAAGUGUUCAUUAAACGAAAUGAGAUUUAUAACUUGUUUUGAAAUUGAAUAUUGGUUUUGGAAAUUGAGUAAGUGGAGACUGUAUACUUGUGUUAUAUAUAUGUUUUGACAUAUGGUUUGAAUUGAUGGCUUAUGACAAUGUGAUGGCAAGCAUGGUUGGAUUUGUGCUUGUGUGCAAUAUAUGAACUGUUUUGCUUUGCCUUGACAGGCUAGUAAUAUUAUAUUAGCCAUGUCAUGCUGUCGAAAAUUUUAUUGAAUUGGUGGAUUAUUUGAUUAGCUUACUGCAGUGGGCGGGUUUUCAUGGACCAACCUAUUAGAGGGGCACAGUAAACCCUGUUAUAUUUUACCUUGGUAUGAGAGGCGCGGAGGGUAUCUCCUAAGCUAACGUUAGAGUUCACUUCAUGCCGAACCACCACGUGAAGGUGAAACUCAGCCAACGCCAAGGAACGGCUAUGUUUUAAAUGUAAAAACUUGUUUUAUGUGCAUAUGUUAUUUUCAUAGCCUUGGCGGACUUGGUUGGAUGCCCCGGGCCAAGGUGUCACCGAGUACGAGUUUUAGGAAUGAGCCAAGUUUUUAAGAGAGUCAUAAGCCUUGUUGAUUAUAUUUGAUGAAAUGUAAGUGAAUGAUAU